CCUACGGGUGGCUGCAGUCGAGAAUCAUUCACAAUGGGGGAAACCCUGAUGGUGCGACGCCGCGUGGGGGAAUGAAGGUCUUCGGAUUGUAAACCCCUGUCAUGUGGGAGCAAAUUAAAAAGAUAGUACCACAAGAGGAAGAGACGGCUAACUCGGUGCCAGCAGCCGCGGUAAUACAGAGGUCUCAAGCGUUGUUCGGAAUCACUGGGCGUAAAGCGUGCGUAGGCUGUUUCGUAAGUCGUGUGUGAAAGGGGCGGGCUCAACCCGCGAACGGCACAUGAUACUGCGAGACUAGAGUAAGGGAGAGGUAACCGGAAUUCUCGGUGUAGGAGUGAAAUGCGUAGAUAUCGAGAGGAACACUCGUGGCGAAGGCGGGUUCCUGGACAUUAACUGACGCUGAGGCACGAAGGCCAGGGGAGCGAAAGGGAUUAGAUACCCCUGUAGUC
rnacentral:rRNA from 1 species